rnacentral:tRNA from 1 species
UUAAUUGAAGCCAAAGAGAGGCAUAUCACUGUUAAUGAUAUAACUGGGACCAUCCCCCGAUUAAG